UACGUUCCCGGGUCUUGUACACACCGCCCGUCACAUCAUGAAAGCCGGUUGUACCCGAAGUCGCCCCUCAAAAGGUGCCGAAGGUAUGGCUGGUGAUUGGGAUG
rnacentral:rRNA from 1 species